rnacentral:rRNA from 2 species
CCUGGCGGCACUAGCGCGGUGGUCCCACCUGACCCCAUGCCGAACUCAGAAGUGAAACGCCGUAGCGCCGAUGAUAGUGUGGGGUCUCCCCAUGCGAGAGUAGGGAACUGCCAGGC